GAUGAACGCUGGCGGCGUGCCUAAUACAUGCAAGUCGAGCGAACGGACGAGAAGCUUGCUUCUCUGAUGUUAGCGGCGGACGGGUGAGUAACACGUGGAUAACCUACCUAUAAGACUGGGAUAACUUCGGGAAACCGUAGCUAAUACCGGAUAAUAUUUUGAACCGCAUGGUUCAAAAGUGAAAGACGGUCUUGCUGUCACUUAUAGAUGGAUCCGCGCUGCAUUAGCUAGUUGGUAAGGUAACGGCUUACCAAGGCAACGAUGCAUAGCCGACCUGAGAGGGUGAUCGGCCACACUGGAACUGAGACACGGUCCAGACUCCUACGGGAGGCAGCAGUAGGGAAUCUUCCGCAAUGGGCGAAAGCCUGACGGAGCAACGCCGCGUGAGUGAUGAAGGUCUUCGGAUCGUAAAACUCUGUUAUUAGGGAAGAACAUAUGUGUAAGUAACUGUGCACAUCUUGACGGUACCUAAUCAGAAAGCCACGGCUAACUACGUGCCAGCAGCCGCGGUAAUACGUANGUGGGCAGCGUUAUCCGGAAAUUAUUGGCGUAAAGCGCGCGUAGCGGUUUUUUAAGUCUGAUGUGAAAGCCCACGGCUCAACCGUGGAGGGUCAUUGGAAACUGGAAAACUUGAGUGCAGAAGAGGAAAGUGGAGUUCCAUGUGUAGCGGUGAAAUGCGCAGAGAUAUGGAGGAACACCAGUGGCGAAGGCGACUUUCUGGUCUGUAACUGACGCUGAUGUGCGAAAGCGUGGGGAUCAAACAGGAUUAGAUACCCUGGUAGUCCACGCCGUAAACGAUGAGUGCUAAGUGUUAGGGGGUUUCCGCCCCUUAGUGCUGCAGCUAACGCAUUAAGCACUCCGCCUGGGGAGUACGACCGCAAGGUUGAAACUCAAAGGAAUUGACGGGGACCCGCACAAGCGGUGGAGCAUGUGGUUUAAUUCGAAGCAACGCGAAGAACCUUACCAAAUCUUGACAUCCUUUGACAACUCUAGAGAUAGAGCCUUCCCCUUCGGGGGACAAAGUGACAGGUGGUGCAUGGUUGUCGUCAGCUCGUGUCGUGAGAUGUUGGGUUAAGCCCCGCAACGAGCGCAACCCUUAAGCUUAGUUGCCAUCAUUAAGUUGGGCACUCUAAGUUGACUGCCGGUGACAAACCGGAGGAAGGUGGGGAUGACGUCAAAUCAUCAUGCCCCUUAUGAUUUGGGCUACACACGUGCUACAAUGGACAAUACAAAGGGCAGCGAAACCGCGAGGUCAAGCAAAUCCCAUAAAGUUGUUCUCAGUUCGGAUUGUAGUCUGCAACUCGACUACAUGAAGCUGGAAUCGCUAGUAAUCGUAGAUCAGCAUGCUACGGUGAAUACGUUCCCGGGUCU
rnacentral:rRNA from 1 species